UACGGAGGGUGCGAGCGUUGUUCGGAAUCACUGGGCGUAAAGCGCGUGUAGGCGGCCCACUAAGGCUGAUGUGAAAGCCCGGGGCUCACCCCCGGAAGUGCAUUGGAAACUGGUGGACUCGAGUCCCGGAGAGGAGAGUGGAAUUCCUGGUGUAGCGGUGAAAUGCGUAGAUAUCAGGAGGAACACCGGUGGCGAAGGCGGCUCUCUGGACGGUGACUGACGCUGAGACGCGAAAGCGUGGGGAGCAAACAGG
rnacentral:rRNA from 1 species